rnacentral:misc_RNA from 1 species
CAGAGUUCAUGCCCGUAAAGGGUAGAUCUCCCACCCUAUGUUAUUAUUACCUUUGUUGCUUUGGCGGGCCGCCAGGCCUUGGGUCAGGCUACCGGCUCCGGCUGGUAAGCGCCCGCCAGAGGAUCCCAAACUCUUGAAUGUUAGUGUCGUCUGAGUACUAUAUAAUAGUUA